rnacentral:lncRNA from 1 species
GUAAGAUAUAUAUGGUAUUUCUCAGGUCAUACCACCUGCUCAUAUGGCCAGUAUUGGGAACCACUGUAAUUUAACUGAGAUAUGUUUUUCUAGGUAUAAUUUCAUAGUUAAGGGGAAAGAAAGAACAUUCAGUUUAAAAGUUCUCUUUGAUUUUUCCCUGAUUAUUUGCUCCAGUCUGUAUUUAUCAUCCCUCAAAUGAUGAUGCAACAAAUUUGGGCCAAAGUGGAGGUGAAGAUGAGUAUGAAAAGCUGAACUGAAUCAGUGUGGUCUGAGCAUGGAGGAUCCACCUGAAGAUUGUUACAAAUAGGCAUAAAAAGAGAACUGGGUAGAAAAGAUCUUAGCCUGUUGAUUUUCUACGGAAAGCUUUCUGGAGAUGGUUUACCUGGUGUGAACUAGGCUGUUCUUAUCAGAGGAGGAGCUCAGGACCUUGCUGUCACUGAGAAUGGCUGCUGUUCUCAUCAGGGGAGCUCUGAUCUUCACUGUGAGCAUCACUUGCUGGCUCCAAUGUGGAUCCCUCAGCUUAGUGGCACAAGUCCUUCAUAUCACCGGCAUAGGUUAUCUGGCUUCAACCGCUGGCCUUUGGACCUUCCAGGUGCAGAUCCUUAAUACAGACAAGCAAGAGACAUUGCCUUGGGCCCUGGGCCAUGGACUGGACUCGAGGAGGACAUUGCCUUGGAUUCUAAGCUUUUAGCUGGACUUGUGUGGGAAACUUUGGGCUUCUAGUGUGUGGUUAAUCUCUUGCACUCCUUUGCAUUUGACUUUUUGUGUAAUUAUCAUAAAAUAAUCUUAGAAAUUGUGUGUCCUGUAUUUAAUUUAUUCCCUUGCCAAAUCCUG